rnacentral:rRNA from 1 species
UACAGAGGGGGCAAGCGUUGUUCGGAAUUACUGGGCGUAAAGGGCGCGUAGGCGGCCUGCUAAGUCGAACGUGAAAUCCCCGGGCUCAACCCGGGAACUGCGUCCGAUACUGGUGGGCUUGAAUCCGGGAGAGGGAUGUGGAAUUCCAGGUGUAGCGGUGAAAUGCGUAGAUAUCUGGAGGAAUACCGGUGGCGAAGGCGGCAUCCUGGACCGGCAUUGACGCUGAGGAGCGAAAGCCAGGGGAGCAAACGGG